rnacentral:rRNA from 1 species
CGAUAGCGUAUAUUAAAGUUGUUGCAGUUAAAAAGCUCGUAGUUGGAUUUGUGGUUCGUCCCGCCGGCUGGGUCAUUGACUUUUGCUGUGCUGGUCGUCCAUCCUUGGGUGGAAUCUGUGUGGCAUUAGGUUGUCGCGCAGGGGAUGCCCAUCGUUUACUGUGAAAAAAUUAGAGUGUUCAAAGCAGGCUUAUGCCGUUGAAUAUAUUAGCAUGGAAUAAUGAUAUAGGACCUUGGUACUAUUUUGUUGGUUUGCGCACUGAGGUAAUGAUUAAUAGGGACAGUUGGGGGUAUUCGUAUUCCAUUGUAAGAGGUGAAAUUCUUGGAUUUUUGGAAGACGAACUACUGCGAAAGCAUUUACCAAGGAUGUUUUCAUUAA